rnacentral:rRNA from 1 species
CCUACGGGGUGCAGCAGUGGGGAAUAUUGCGCAAUGGGCGAAAGCCUGACGCAGCGACGCCGCGUGAGGGAUGAAGGUCUUCGGAUCGUAAACCUCUGUCAGCAGGGAAGAACGGUCACUGUGCUAAUCAGCAGUGAAUUGACGGUACCUGCAAAGGAAGCACCGGCUCACUCCGUGCCAGCAGCCGCGGUAAUACGGAGGGUGCGAGCGUUAAUCGGAAUUACUGGGCGUAAAGCGAUCGUAGGCGGUAUGUCAAGUCAAGGGUGAAAUCCCCGCGCUCAACGUGGGAACUGCCUUUGAUACUGGCAAACUGGAGUGUGUGAGAGGAUAGUGGAAUUCCAGGUGUAGGAGUGAAAUGCGUGGAUAUCUGGAGGAACAUCAGUGGCGAAGGCGACUAUCUGGCACAUAACUGACGCUGAGGAGCGAAAGCGUGGGUAGCAAACAGGAUUAGAUACCCGAGUAGUC